UUUCAAAGAAAGAAGUAAGAACGACAACGAAAAGACCUCGGAUAUGUAAACCAGCCCCACCACCAUACACAUAAUCUCUCUCUCUCUCUCUCUCUCUUUGUGCCUUUGUACGUCGGGUUUCGUGCAAUGUAUAAGAAGAGAUUUUUUGUCCGCUCAAUCUUCUCAAUCUCAUCCCCUCUCUGUGCAGUACUACUUCUACCCACAACCGCACUUUUCUCUUUCUUUUCUUUAUAAUUAAAACUAAGCCCCCGUUUCUCUUUUUCUCUCUCCUCCUCUCCUCAUUUCGUCUUUUCACUUUUAGGGUUUAUUAAGAUGUGCUUGUGUUGUGCCACUGCUGCUGCUCCACCUCCCGGCCCUCCUGGCCAUGGUUUUUGCCAGAAAGGUUUGGAGACUAUAGUCAUGCAGCUGAUGCCUACUGUAAGGAGUAUGCUCUGUUCCAACAUUAAGUGUUAAAGAUCUAUCGUGUUUAGGUAGUGUUGGAAUUUAUGGAUUAAUAUACUUCAGGUUUGGGAUAGGGAAUGAAGCCAUCGGUCCGUGUAGUAUAGGGAACAUGUAUUAUAUUGACAUUUACUGUAAAUUACUGGUCUAUUUUUAAGUUAGAUAAAAGAAACAGCGCUGCAGCUUUUAUUUGCUCUCCUUUUGUGUUUUGGUCACCGUGUAGCAAUAUAUUGAAAAUUUCACA